GUCCACGCCCUAAACGGUGGGCACUAGGUGUAGGGCUCGUAAGGGUUCUGUGCCGUAGGGAAACCAUUAAGUGCCCCGCCUGUGGAGUACGGCCGCAAGGUUGAAACUCAAAGGAAUUGACGGGGGCCCGCACAAGCGGUGGAGCAUGUGGUUUAAUUCGACGCAACGCGAAGAACCUUACCUGGGCUUGACAUGUUAGUGGUAGGAAACUGAAAGGGGCCCGACCCGUAGCAAUACGGGAGCUAAUACAGGUGCUGCAUGGCUGUCGU
rnacentral:rRNA from 1 species